ACGGCUCAGUAACACGUGGAUAACCUACCCUUAGGACUGGGAUAACCCUGGGAAACUGGGGCUAAUACUGGAUUGGUGGAAUUUCCUGUAAUGGUGUUUCAUUUAAAUGUUUUUUUUUCGCCUAAGGAUGGGUCUGCGGCAGAUUAGGUAGUUGGUAAGGUAAUGGCUUACCAAGCCGAUAAUCUGUACGGGUUGUGAGAGCAAGAGCCCGGAGAUGGAACCUGAGACAAGGUUCCAGGCCCUACGGGGCACAGCAGGCGCGGAACCUCCGCAAUGUGAGAAAUCGCGACGGGGGGACCCCAAGUGCCAUUCUUAACGGGAUGGCUUUUUUUGAGUGUAAAAAGCUUGAAGAAUAAGAGCUGGGCAAGACCGGUGCCAGCCGCCGCGGUAACACCGGCAGCUCGAGUGGUAGCCAGUUUUAUUGGGCCUAAAGCGUCCGUAGCCGGUUUUUUAAGUCUUUGGUGAAAUCCUGUAGCUUAACUAUGGGAAUUGCUGGGGAUACUAUUUGACUUGAGGUCGGGAGAGGUUAGCGGUACUCCCAGGGUAGGGGUGAAAUCCUGUAAUCCUGGGAGGACCACCUGUGGCGAAGGCGGCUAACUGGAACGAUCCUGACGGGUGAGGGACGAAAGCCAGGGGGCGCGAACCGGAUUAGAUACCCGGGGUAGUCCUGGCUGUAAACGAUGUGGACUUAGUGUUUGGGAGUGGCUUUGGAGCCAUUUCA
rnacentral:rRNA from 1 species